AUUGAACGCUGGCGGCAUGCCUUACACAUGCAAGUCGAACGGUAACGCGGGGCAACCUGGCGACGAGUGGCGAACGGGUGAGUAAUGCAUCAGAACGUGCCCAGUAGUGGGGGAUAGCCCGGCGAAAGCCGGAUUAAUACCGCAUACGACCUACGGGUGAAAGGGGGGGAUCGCAAGACCUCUCGCUAUCGGAGCGGCCGAUGUCAGAUUAGCUAGUUGGUGGGGUAAAGGCCUACCAAGGCGACGAUCUGUAGCUGGUCUGAGAGGACGACCAGCCACACUGGGACGGAGAGACGGCCCAGACUCCUACGGGAGGCAGCAGUGGGGAAUUUUGGACAAUGGGCGAAAGCCUGAUCCAGCCAUGCCGCGUGCGUGAAGAAGGCCUUCGGGUUGUAAACCGCUUUUGUCAGAGAAGAAAUCUUCUGAGUUAAUACCUCGGGAGGAUGACGGUACCUGAAGAAUAAGCACCGGCUAACUACGUGCCAGCAGCCGCAGUAA
rnacentral:rRNA from 1 species